rnacentral:misc_RNA from 1 species
GAAAUGCGAUAAGUAAUGUGAAUUGCAGAAUUCAGCGAAUCAUCGAAUCUUUGAACGCACAUUGCGCCUCCGGGUAUUCCUGGAGGCAUGCCUGUUCGAGCGUCGUUUAGACCAUGAGGCUUUGCCUUGCGAUGACAUUUGGGAGAGACCAUCUGUUCAAACAUAUUGGCAUCUGAAGAUUGGCCGAGUGCAGUAGAAUGCGCUGAAAGGUUCUUCUUACGGAUACGCCCGUAGCUGAUCGUCUUCGGAAACGAAAACGUCACACUUGGUCGACCUCGGAUCAGGCAAGAUUACCCGCUGAACUUAA